AUUGAACGCUGGCGGCGUGCCUAACACAUGCAAGUCGAGCGAGCGGCGGACGGGUGAGUAAUGUAUGGGGACCGCCCGAUAGAGGGGGAUAACUACUGGAAACGGUAGCUAAUACCGCAUACUAUCGGAUAACCCAUAGGGUAUGAGCUCGUAGGUGAGGUUAUGGCUCACCUCGGCGACGAUGCCUAGCUGGUCUGAGAGGAUGAUCAGCAACACUGGAACUGAGACACGGCCCAGACUCCGACGGAGGCAGCAGUGGGGAAUCUUGCGCAAUGGGCGAAAGCCUGAUGCAGCCAGGCCGCGUGUAUGAGGAAGGCCCUAGGGUUGUAAAGUACUUUCAGUCGGGAGGCGUUACCGACAGAGGAAGCACCGGCUAACUCCGUGCCAGCAGCCGCGGUAAUUC
rnacentral:rRNA from 1 species